rnacentral:rRNA from 1 species
AACGAACGCUGGCGGCAUGCCUAACACAUGCAAGUCGAACGAGACCUUCGGGUCUAGUGGCGCACGGGUGCGUAACGCGUGGGAACCUGCCCUUAGGUUCGGAAUAACUCCCCGAAAGGGGUGCUAAUACCGGAUAAUGUCUUCGGACCAAAGAUUUAUCGCCUUUGGAUGGGCCCGCGUUGGAUUAGCUAGUUGGUAGUGUAAAAGCCUACCAAGGCGACGAUCCAUAGCUGGUCUGAGAGGAUGAUCAGCCACACUGGGACUGAGACACGGCCCAGGCUCCUACGGGAGGCAGCAGUGGGGAACAUUGGACAAUGGGUGAUAGACUGACACAGCAAUGCCGCGUGAGUGAUGAAGGCCUUAGGGUUGUAAAGCUCGUUUAACCGGGAAGAUAAUGACAGUACCGGGAGAAUAAGCCACGGCUAACUACGUG